rnacentral:rRNA from 1 species
UUGACCUCAAUCGGGUGAGACUACCCGCUGAACUUAAGCAUAUCAAUAAGCGGAGGAAAAGAAACUAACAAGGAUUCCCCUAGUAACUGCGAGUGAAGCGGGAAAAGCUCAAAUUUAAAAUCUGGCGGUCUUUGGCCGUCCGAGUUGUAAUUUAGAGAAGCGUCUUCCGCGCCGGACCGUGCACAAGU